rnacentral:rRNA from 1 species
ACACGCAUGACACACUGCAUAUCAAUAAGCGGAGGAAAAGAAACUAACAAGGAUUCCCUUAGUAACGGCGAGUGAAGCGGGAAGAGCUCAAAUUUGAAAUCUUCAAGGUUCUACCUUGACGAAUUGUAGUUUAUAGAAGUGUUUUCUGUUAGUAGAGUUUGGUAAAAGUUCUUUGGAAUAGGACAUCAUAGAGGGUGAGAAUCCCGUAUUUGGAUCAUUAUUUCCAGCUGUGUGAUACACUUUCAACGAGUCGGAUUGUUUGGGAAUGCAGUCCAAAAUGGGUGGUAAAUUUCAUCUAAAGCUAAAUAUUGGCGAGAGACCGAUAGCGAACAAGUACCGUGAGGGAAAGAUGAAAAGAACUUUGAAAAGAGAGUUAAACAGUACGUGAAAUUGUCAAAAGGGAAGCGUUUGACACCAGUGUUGUUUUUCCGAAAAUCAAUUACGAAUGUUUUAGUUUUUGAGAAGUUAUGACUUCAUCGGCUUGCUUCUCUCUUUAUGAAACUUUCUUAAUGCACUUUUCGGUUAACAAGUCAACAUCAAUUUCUUUUGUUGUAAAAGGGUAUGAGGAAGGUGGCUUUCUUUUCGGAGAAAGUGUUUAUAGCCUUGUACCUCUGCAAUCGGAGAGAUUGAGGUCUGCAGCGUAGAUCCUUCGGGGUUAGAUACAUUUGUGCUAAGUUAUAGCUUUUCAUAGACAACUUGUUGACUAUGUUUAGUCUUGUAGCUUACUCGCUUAUGCUAUUUUACCUACGCUUAGGAUGUUGAGCGCAUGUCUCUCUCU